rnacentral:tRNA from 1 species
CGGGGUGUAGUGUACUGGUAACAUGCACGGUUCGGGACCGUGAGACAGUGAGUCCGAUUCUCACCACCCCGA